AAGACGCGCAAAAGUAGACGACGUCUGCUCAUCCUGUUUAAAGAUACGGCGCACGGAUCUGCGGGCGACCACGCCCGGUCAAAGGCGCGGGCUGUGCUACAUUGCUACUCUGUAUAUUCCUUCUGUGCCAUGCUGUGGGCAGGAGACUUUCUGAUGUACCCUCUCUUCCAGUCCUACCCAAAUCGGUCGUGCGAUGCCCGCUGCAGUCUAAUAGCAGUGGCUUGAAUGAUUACUCAACAACUGCAGUAGGCUUGGAAGGCGUGGCAAGCUCGAACGUGUUCCCACUGUACUUGGUAUCAUUCUACGGAUAUCAUUUUUCGGCGCUAUGCUGACGAUAUUCUUGGGUACUGCUCUGAGCCUUUUGACAGGUGGUCACAAGACCGCAAGUAGAAACUUGCCUUUAACAAGCCCAGUGUUUUUGAACAUUUGGAAAAGGUUUCGAUUUUUGCGCCAGACAAUAACGCUUCAAAGAGACGAAAUUAAAGGCGGCCCAUCGAUAUUACGGGCCAAUGGACGAGGAGAUGAAGAUGAGAAGAACCCGCACCUAGGUGCAGAGCUUCUUCCGAUAUUCAAUAGAACCUAGCGUCGUGGGCACUACGUGACGACUAGCGACGAGCGCGUAUUACUUAAUUAAGCUAUAUACUUCGCGAGAAAGUUGCAGCUCUAAACUACGCCGCUUGCAAGGAACCACGCAGCACGCAGCACACAUGCCUGCUUAGCCUGUUUCGAAUGAGCAGCCAAUCCGCAACAACAGGCGCGUUGCUCUUCCCAGCCAGCUGUGGCCGAAGAGGGUUUUUUAUGUUAAAGAGACAGGGCGUGAAAGCACGGACGAAAGAGAGCAGUCAAAAGAAGCCAAGAGAGGGUUUUAUCGUGGGUGAGGAGGGUUUUAGCGAACCUCGCCAGCUUCAUAAGUCAGCUUCCGCAAGCUUCGUUUGAAAAAUGAAUACGCAAUAAGAAAGUGAAUACUUCAGCAAAAGCCAUGUGUUUGCUACGAAAAUGACUGAAUCAAUGCAGGCACAUGGAGAAACACAAAAAAGAAGAGGCUGGAUACGAGCUAACUUCAAAAUAACGACGACUUUUAGUUUAACUAUUUAAUUACCACUGCGAAAGCUUUAAUGUUUGAAUAUUUCAUGUAGAAAGGCCUGAACUUGCCCGACUUCCUAGUUGUAAAUAUUUGCAUCAGGUUCACCUGCGCAUUUUAUAUUUGUUUAGAAUCUUUCUCUUUACUAUUAUUUUUCCCUCUCUUCUGAAAUUUUUAUUCCCAUUGCGCUUUCCCAUGAAGAGUAGCAUGCCAGCGGUUAUGUAGACGCAGGCAAAAAUAUUCGUUUUUCUA